rnacentral:rRNA from 1 species
AUACGUAGGGGGCGAGCGUUGUCCGGAAUUACUGGGUGUAAAGGGAGCGUAGGCGGGAGUGCAAGUCAGAUGUGAAAUGCAUGGGCUUAACCCAUGAGCUGCAUUUGAAACUGCAUUUCUUGAGUGAAGUAGAGGUAAGCGGAAUUCCUGGUGUAGCGGUGAAAUGCGUAGAGAUUGGGAGGAACACCAGUGGCGAAGGCGAUUACCGGGGCGGUACCGGAGGUGAAGGGGGAAAGCGUUGGGAAGGGACCGGAAUUGAUUCCCCUGUAAGUCCACGGGUUAACGAAGGAUGCCUAGUUGAGGGGGUUUUGGACCCUUCUGUUGCGGGGUUAAAGCAAAUAAGAUUCCGCCCGGGGAAUUAGGCCGGCAAGUUUAAACUCAAAUGAAUUGACGGGG